rnacentral:pre_miRNA from 1 species
AUGUAGUGUGACAUGCCCGUUUGGGUUUUACUAUGAUGUUAAAUUAUUAUUAUUUAAUUGAUUUUGGGAAACGGGGUGUUACAAGAUG